rnacentral:lncRNA from 1 species
CUGCCCCGUGGCCUCCGACUGCCCAGCACUCCAGCAGCCAUUGCACAUCUUCCUCCUCUUCCUCUCGAAUCCUCUCGGAGCCCGCAAGGUAGGUUUGGGAUUUCGAUUUUCGGUUGCCGACGGGCUUAAAGGAGAUGGCCGUCGGCGGCUACGGGGUCGCCGCCGACCGGGCGGUGGUGGACGGAGCGCGGCUCUCAAGCGCCGAUCUGUUGAAUACAUCGGGUGCACAAGUAAUUUCAUCCCAUUUCCCUCUCUAUUUCGCUUGCAACUCGCUUCGUAGGCUGGUAUCUGUUCUAAUCCCCUUCCAAUUUGUGUGCACGCCGACCACGAGGGCUUGCAGAUGAGAGGUAGCUUCUUUCGCUAACGAGGGGUCCAAUCCCCACCGCGACACGCACUGGUGAAUGGAGGUCAGCUCGUUGGCACGGAUUCUGUCGUCCCUAUCAGGUGCGCAAGUAAUUUCAUCUCAUUCCUUCUAGGCAGUUUAGACCCUCGUCUAGGGUUCGGAGGCUCGUCAUUUUUUUAUCUGCAUGUCCAUCUCGAAGUCAUGAGCUUGUGAAAUGUCUAGGGACAUGAUUCAUGGCUAAUUUUUUAGUCUGGCUACGCUUAGACAAUUUGCUUGCUUACUAGUUCCAUUAACACAACUUCACAAGUAUCCAGUAGGUAUUCCGAUAAUUUUUGGGCACACCAAUUUUACCAGGGACUUGACUUUCUGCACAGAUAUGUGUUCUCUGUGAUGUAACCUGUGAUUCACGUCAAUCAUUAUUCCAAAUUGUGGUUAACUGGCCUGCGACAUAAGAUGACUACAAUGAUUUCUAUGCUAGUCCUAUGCUGGUAUAGUGAUAUGUCAGAUUACUAUCUCAUAUAUGUUAUUUUAUUAUUAGCAAUAUCUAGUGUAAGAGUACUAGCUUAUGGUGUGUUAUUUAACUGAAAAGACUCGUAAUAGGCAUCUAAAAUGCUUAAUUGAUAUCAUUAAGAUGCGUACUUAAUAUUAACUAAAAUGAUUUAUGGUAGGUUGCUUUAUGAUAUUACUAAAGAAUUUUCCUUUGAUCAUUAAUUGAUUACGUGAUCAGUAUUGAAAAUCUGGUAUAUGCAAGCAUGCAUUUUUCAUAUGCAGUUCCUUAUGUAUAGACCAAGCACUUUGUGGUGGGGAAAUAAUUUCUCAUCAUUACUAUUUGUGGUAAAAAAAAUUCUUAUUAAUCCCCUCUUUUUGCUCUAUGCAGUACGCCAUGGGAACUGCAAUGGUUCAUAUAUCGAUGCUCGUACUUAUCAUUUCCGAAGUAUGUUCUAUUUUAUCACCUAACAUCUCAAUAUUGUUCACCUGGCAAAUUCUAAAUAUUUUCAUGUAGACUGCCAUAUUAUUUCAAAAUGCACAUACUCUAGGUGAUGCUUGUAACUAAAAAAGAGCUUGAAUUAGGAAACGUUAUGCAUUGCAUCCAUACAGUAGUUCAGUACUAUAUAUCUUAGGGGGUGUUUGAUUCCAGUUGCUUAUUUUUAGCACAUGUCAUAUUAAAUGUUUAGAUACUAAUUAGGAGUAUUAAACGUAGACUAUUUACAAAACCCAUUACACAGAUGGAGGCUAAAUGGCGAGACGAAUCUAUUAAGUCUAAUUAGUCCAUGAUUUGACAAUGUGCUGCUACAGUAAAUAUUUGCUAAUGAUGGAUUAAUUAGGCUUAAUAGAUUCGUCUCGUCGUUUAGCCUCCAUCUGCGCAAUUAGUUUUAUAAUUAACUCAUAUUUAGUCCUCCUAAUUAGCCUCCGAAUAUUCGAUGUGACACGGACUAAACUUUAGCUCAAGGAACCAAACGCCCCCUUAGGGGAAACCUGCCUAGUGAGUGUAGACUUCAUAUGCUGCUAUAGGGUUUUGAUUUUUUCCUUUUUUGGAAAAAGUUCAAAUACUUCCUUCAAGUAUAGCGAAAGUCUAGAUAGCCCCCUAAACUAUGUUUUGGUUCAAUUUACCAUCUAAACUAUAGUAUUUGGUUCAACUUACCCCAUAAUGCAAUUUGUUCUUUUUGUUUCUUUAUACACAAGUUGAAUUUUAAUUUGAGACUUUGUAGGAUGGUAGUGGACAUCAUAAUCUAUAUUAAAAAAUAUUUUAUGAAUCUUUACUCAUUAUUUUUUAUGUAAUUUUGUAUCUCAAGGAUAAAUUUUAUUAUUAAAUAUCCUACCUAUGAAAAUAAUGAUGAAAAAUUCAUGAUAUAUUUUUCUAACGUGUCUUAUGAUAUCUGCUACCAUCUUGCAAAAUUUGAACUUAAGACUCCACUUAUGCAUGGAGAAACAAAAAAGACAAAUUAUGUUAAGGGGUAAAUUGAACCAAAUGGCAUAGUUUAAGGGGUAAACUGAACCAAGAAAUACUUUAGGAGGUUAUCCAGACUUUGGUUAUACUUGAGGGGAGUAAUUUGAA